UUCUUUUUGGCUGCCAGAGGCCCCCGCAUCCACCGCUGAGCUGGGAGAAAGAUGGCGGCAGCCGUGCGACAGGAUUUGGCCCAGCUCAUGAAUUCGAGCGGCUCUCAUAAAGAUCUGGCUGGCAAUGGUAAAUGAGAAUGUCAGUCUCGUGAUCUCGCGGCAGUUGCUGACUGAUUUUUGCACACAUCUUCCUAACUUGCCUGAUAGCACAGCCAAAGAAAUCUAUCACUUCACCUUGGAAAAGAUCCAGCCUAGAGUCAUUUCAUUUGAGGAGCAGGUUGCUUCCAUAAGACAGCAUCUUGCAUCUAUAUAUGAGAAAGAAGAAGAUUGGAGAAAUGCAGCCCAAGUGUUGGUGGGAAUUCCUUUGGAAACAGGACAAAA
rnacentral:lncRNA from 1 species